UCAAACGUGAGCCUUUCAGUAAAUAAAUAAAAUAAUACAAGUGGGUUAUAUGAAUGAGAAAUUGUCACAAAUAGCAUUUUACGCGUGUAAUACGUAAAUGACGUAAAUAUGUUAGAAAAUAUUAUAAAUUUCUUAAUGAGAUGUUUGCGUUUGAACACUUGCAUCAACAAGUUGUGAAAUAUCAACAGAAAAUUUUGUUGUAGUUAAGCGUAAUAAGUUUGACAAUGUCUCGUCAGUCAUUGAAGAUCGAUUGCUGUUUUUUAUAUUUUUCAUCGCGGAAAAUGUUUUUUUCGCAUAAAUUGCAGAAGAACAUCGUUUUGCAAAUCGCAGAAUUCCAAUUGUACAUGUUCCGGCUGAUCUUCUAUUUUUACAGCGAUUAUUAAAAAGAUGUAAAUCACUUUUCAUCGCGUCGAAUUCUGUAAAACGAUUGUGAAAUUCAUCCAGGUAUAAAUUCA